AAGCCCCAGUAAACGGCGGCCGUAACUAUAACGGUCCUAAGGUAGCGAAAUUCCUUGUCGGGUAAGUUCCGACCCGCACGAAAGGCGUAAUGAUUUGGGCACUGUCUCGGCAAUGCAUCCGGUGAAAUUGAAGUACCAGUGAAGAUGCUGGUUACCCGCGCCAGGACGGAAAGACCCCAUGGAGCUUUACUCCAGUUUGGCACUGGGAUCCGGUAUUGCAUGUACAGGAUAGGUGGGAGGCAUGGAAAGGGUUACGCCAGUAGCCCCGGAGCCGAUGUUGGGAUACCACCCCUGCAGUAUUGGGUUUCUAACCUGCCGCCGUGAUCCGGCGGGGGGACAAUGCCAGGCGGGGAGUUUGACUGGGGCGGUCGCCUCCGAAAGGGUAUCGGAGGCGCUCAAAGGUUCCCUCAGAAUGGUUGGAAACCAUUCGGAGAGCGCAAAGGCAGAAGGGAGCUUGACUGCGACACCGACGGGUGGGGCAGGUACGAAAGUAGGACUUAGUGAUCCGGUGGCAUAAAGUGGGAUUGCCAUCGCUCAACGGAUAAAAGCUACCCUGGGGAUAACAGGCUUAUCACUCCCAAGAGUUCACAUCGACGGAGUGGUUUGGCACCUCGAUGUCGGCUCAUCGCAUCCUGGGGCUGUAGUAGGUCCCAAGGGUUGGGCUGUUCGCCCAUUAAAGCGGUACGCGAGCUGGGUUCAGAACGUCGUGAGACAGUUCGGUCCCUAUCCGGCGCGGGCGCAGGAUAUUUGAGGGGAGCUGACCUUAGUACGAGAGGACCGGGUUGGACUGACCACUGGUGCACCGGUUGUCCCGCCAGGGGCAUGGCCGGGUAGCCAAGUCGGGAAGGGAUAAACGCUGAAGGCAUCUAAGCGUGAAGCCCCCCCCAAGAUGAGAUAUCCCCCGCAGAAGCGGUAAGACCCCUUGAAGACGACGAGGUUGAUAGGGCAGGGGUGGAAGUGCAGCAAUGCAUGGAGCUGACUGCUACUAAUAGGUCGAAGGCUUGACCA
rnacentral:rRNA from 1 species